UGGGUGAGGGAGAGAGGAGUCAUCAUCCAGGUAAAGUGACGUGGAUCAGUGGACACACUUGUCUCCCCUUUAAAGGAGAUACUCUUAGAGAGAGACAAUCCGAGUCAUCCCUAAAUAUGGGCAGGAUAUCAGUCUUGGACUGUGUAACCUGCCGGAGCAGCACUGAAUGACCACCACACAUGAGCAUGUUCCUGCAACAUUCAGCAGCUUUGCUUUUGUGUCAAAUGUCAACCACCUGGAGAGGAAACUACACCAGUACUGGGAUGUUUCACCAACACGUGCCAGAUGCUGUUCCUUCAUGGUGACAUCACCAGAGACAGCCCCGCCCACCUCAGGACCUCGCCAUUGAUCAUGAUGAUUAUAAUGAUGACAGCGAGCGGAACUAAGACUGUAAAAAUCCACGACCAGAAUGUUUAGAUGCUUUCUAAUUAUUAAUGAAUACUGAGAGCCUCUUUCUGUGUUUUGUCUGUUUUGGGUUGUUUUUUUACCUCAUUUGUUACUAACAAAGUUCACCAAACUCACACAGUUUACAUUCUGUAUGUUUCCAUCUUUACCAGCCACACUCUGCCUGCAUUUAGAAAACAAACCUUAGAAAUCGUCGUUUUUCUCUUUUGUAAUUUUGUAACUCAGUGAAUAUACUGGGCUGCUUCCUUUUAUUGCGUCACACAUUGCUUUAAGUUUUUCAGUGUCCAGUUAUUUUUUACUGCUGUUUGAAUUCUCUGUAUGUUUGACCCUGUAGACUGUUUGAUGGACUGCUUGUCUUCCUGUUUGUA